UAUAUAGAUAGAUAGAUAGUGUUUGGGUAUUUUGCAAAUGUGUGUAUGUGUGUAUUUGCAUAUAUAAAUAUAAAAUACAUAUAUGUGGAAAUGUAGAUAGGAGAGGCAAUAGAGCAAACAUGAUUUAUGGACAAAAGGAGCUUUAUACAUGGGAUUUGUAGACUUACAUUGUCCCCUUCCUCAUUGCAGAUAUUCAGAUCAAGUCCAGGGAGGGGCAUGGGACCCUUCCUUAAGAAGAAUAAUUGCAAAUCUGUUACAACCCUCUUUCCUACCUAUCAGGAGUCUUGAUAUGUUACUGUCAAGGAAUGCUCAAGAGACAGAAACCAUAACUCAAACUGGCUUAAGCAAAAGAUGAAUUUAUUGAUUUGGAUAAUAAUAGCAGAACAACCUGAUUCCAGGUACUAUCUGAUCCAGUGUCUAGUUGGAUCACCGGAACCUGUUUCUUCUUCUGAAAUAACUCUGUUUUCAUGCUGGCUGUCUCCUUAUGAGGUGGAGUUUUCUGAGAAGCAGAUGCCAAGACAGGAUUAGAUAUGGUUAUGGUUUGGGUCUCCAUGUAUCAAUCCAACUCAGGCCCUGUGUCCAGUAAUUUUCAAAAUGUCAGGUAUUCAUCUUGUAUUAGUACACGGAUAACCUAGUAAGUGGUAGUAAUUUCCUUUGGGGAAGGACUGGUAGAAUUACAGUAUAUAUUUGUAGCAGUGUUGCAGAGUCUCUUCGAGGGACCUGGCCACCUCUUCAUUCAAUGGGUCUGGAUCUGAAAAUUAACUCAAGUUUGGGAAGUGAGGGAUAUGAUUUGGCUGUAUCCCCACCUAAAUCUCAUAUUUACUUGUAGUUCCCAUAAUCCCCAUGUGUUUUGGGAGGGAUCCAGUGGGAGGUAAUUAAACCAUGGUGUGGUUAUCCCCAUGCUGCUGUUCUCGUGAUAGUAAGUUCUUACAGGAUCUGAUUUUUACAAAUGGCUUUUUCUUCUUUGCUCAGAACUUCUUCCUGCUGCCAUGUGAAGAACAUAUUUACUUCUCCUUCUGCCAUGAUCGUAAGUUUCCUGAGGCCUCCCCAGCCAUGUGGAACUAUACCAGGAAUAGCAAUUCAAAGAUGUGA
rnacentral:lncRNA from 1 species